rnacentral:rRNA from 1 species
GUCGAGAAUCUUUCACAAUGGGGGCAACCCUGAUGGAGCGACGCCGCGUGGAGGAUAAGGUCUUCGGAUUGUAAACUCCUGUCAUGCGUGAACAAGGUUGCUUGGUUAAUACCUGGGCAAAUUGAUGGUAACGCAAGAGGAAGAGACGGCUAACUCUGUGCCAGCAGCCGCGGUAAUACAGAGGUCUCAAGCGUUGUUCGGAAUCACUGGGCGUAAAGGGUGCGUAGGUGGCGUGGUAAGUCAGAUGUGAAAGCCCGGGGCUCAACCUAGGAACUGCAUCCGAUACUGCCAUGCUAGAGUACUGGAGAGGUGACUAGAAUUCUCGGUGUAGCAGUGAAAUGCGUAGAUAUCGAGAGGAAUACCAAAGGCGUAGGCAGGUCACUGGACAGUUACUGACACUGAGGCACGAAGGCCAGGGGAGCGAACGGGAUUAGAAACCCCGGUAGUCC